UUUGAGCUCACUUAUUUGAAUAUUGACAACCAAUUCAUUGUUCAUGGUCAGUACUGGAACGAAGAAAUCCCCAUCAAAGUAUUUAAUUGUGAAUUCUGUUUUUGAAUUGGUUCAGCGAGCCUGUGUAUGAAUUCGCUUUGCAAAUACAUAUCGGAGUUUAAUAUUUGUCAAAGUUAUUGAUGGUUGAUCACUGGUUUCCCAAUUUAGUGACAAGAAAGUACCGAAGUGAGGGAAAGACGAUUUCUGUUAUCACUUAACGACAUAAAUUUUGAGGCACUCAAGCUUGUAAUGACGCUAGAUUGUCGAUUUUGAACAAUAUGGCGAAAGAUUUACUCGUGCCUGAAUCUGAAGAAUUAACGAUGUAACAACAGUCGAGCAAGAAGACUUUCGACUUGCAGACUUGAAAAUGAUUCAGCCGUGGGAAAGUGAAGAUGCAAGCUUAAGAAUUUCUACACGAGGAAAAUAAAAUGUGAUAACAAGGCA